AACGCACAUUGCGCCCUUUGGUAUUCCGAAGGGCAUGCCUGUUCGAGCGUCAUUAUCACCCCUCAAGCCCCGCGCUUGGUGUUGGACGGCCGGUCGAGCGAUCGACCCCUCCUAAAGACAAUGACGGCGGCCUGUGGUUCCCCCGGUACACUGAGCUUUUCAUUGAGCACGUAUCGGACAAGGGCACCCGGGACCCGGUCCUCUCCUUUAACUAGGAAACUUCUAAGGUUGACCUCGGAUCAGGUAGGAAUACGCGCUGAACUUAA
rnacentral:misc_RNA from 1 species